UUACCCACUCCCGGCACGGGGAGGUAGUGACGAAAAAUAACGAUACGGGACUCAUCCGAGGCCCCGUAAUCGGAAUGAGUACACUCUAAACCCUUUAACNNGGAUCAAUUGGAGGGCAAGUCUGGUGCCAGCAGCCGCGGUAAUUCCAGCUCCAAUAGCGUAUAUUAAAGUUGUUGCGGUUAAAAAGCUCGUAGUCGAAUUUGUGUCUCGCGCCGCUGGUUCAUCGUUCGCGGUGUUAACUGGCGAGCCGCGAGACNUCCUGCCGGUGGGCUUNGCUCGCAAGGGCGGCCCAACUCAAUCCUGCCGCGGUGCUCUUCAUUGAGUGUCGAGGUGGGCCGGCACGUUUACUUUGAACAAAUUAGAGUGCUUAAAGCAGGCUAAAACUUCGCCUGAAUACUGUGUGCAUGGAAUAAUGGAAUAGGACCUCGGUUCUAUUUUGUUGGUUUUCGGAACCCCGAGGUAAUGAUUAAUAGGAACGGAUGGGGGCAUUCGUAUUGCRACGUUAGANGUGAAAUUCUUGGAUCGUCGCAAGANGGACAGAAGCRAAAGCAUUUGCCAAAAACGUUUUCAUUGAUCAAGAACGAAAGUNAGAGGUUCGAAGGCGAUCAGAUACNGCCCUAGUACUAACUAUAAACGAUGCCAGCUAGCGAUCCGUCGACGUUCCUCCGAUGACUCGACNNGCAGCUUCCGGGAAACCAAAGCUUUUGGGUUCCGGGGGAAGUAUGGUUGCAAAGCUGAAACUUAAAGGAAUUGACGGAAGGGCACCACCAGGAGUGGAGCCUGCAGCUUAAUUUGACUCAACACGGGAAACCUCACCAGGCCCGGACACCGGAAGGAUUGACAGAUUGAGAGCUCUUUCUUGAUUCGGUGGGUGGUGGUGCAUGGCCGUUCUUAGUUGGUGGAGCGAUUUGUCUGGUUAAUUCCGGUAACGAACGAGGCUCUAGCCUGCUAACUAGGCGCUCGACAUCCUAAAGGCC
rnacentral:rRNA from 1 species